AGCGAACGCUGGCGGCAGGCCUAACACAUGCAAGUCGAACGGACCCUUCGGGGUUAGUGGCGGACGGGUGAGUAACACGUGGGAACGUGCCUUUAGGUUCGGAAUAGCUCCUGGAAACGGGUGGUAAUGCCGAAUGUGCCCUUCGGGGGAAAGAUUUAUCGCCUUUAGAGCGGCCCGCGUCUGAUUAGCUAGUUGGUGAGGUAAAGGCUCACCAAGGCUACGAUCAGUAGCUGGUCUGAGAGGAUGACCAGCCACAUUGGGACUGAGACACGGCCCAAACUCCUACGGGAGGCAGCAGUGGGGAAUCUUGCGCAAUGGGCGAAAGCUUGACGCAGCCAUGCCGCGUGAAUGAUGAAGGUCUUAGGAUUGUAAAAUUCUUUCACCGGGGACGAUAAUGACGGUACCCGGAGAAGAAGCCCCGGCUAACUUCGUGCCAGCCGCCGCAGUAACAC
rnacentral:rRNA from 1 species